UGGGGCGUCGCCAAAUUGGUAAGGCACCGGCCUUUGGAGCCGGCAUCUGGAGGUUCGAGUCCUCCCGCCCCAGCCA
rnacentral:tRNA from 2 species